UUGAGCGGAGAUAUAUGGAGCUUGCUUUAUAUAACUUAGCAGCGAACGGGUGAGUAACACGUAGAUAAUCUAUCCUAUACUGGGGGAUAGCCCGAUGAAAGUUGGAUUAAUACCGCAUAUAGCUAUAUAGUUGCAUGAUUAUGUAGUGAAAGAUUUAUUGGUAUAGGAGGAGUCUGCGGCACAUUAGCUAGUAGGUGAGGUAAAGGCUUACCUAGGCGACGAUGUGUAGCCGGUCUGAGAGGAUGAACGGCCACAAUGGAACUGAGACACGGUCCAUACUCCUACGGGAGGCAGCAGUGGGGAAUAUUGCACAAUGGGGGAAACCCUGAUGCAGCAACGCCGCGUGAGUGAAGAAGGUUUUCGGAUUGUAAAGCUCUGUUAGCAGGGAAGAGGAAGGACGGUACCUGCAGAGGAAGCCACGGCUAACUACGUGCCAGCAGCCGCGGUAAUACGUAGGUGGCAAGCGCUGUUCGGAAUAACUGGGCGUAAAGGAUGCGUAGGCGGUUAAACAAGUUAUAUGUUAAAUAUAUAGGCUUAACCUGUAGAAAGCAUAUAAAACUGUUUAACUAGAGUGCAGGAGAGGUAAGUGGAAUUCCUAGUGUAGCGGUGAAAUGCGUAGAGAUUAGGAAGAACACCAGUGGCGAAGGCGACUUACUGGACUGUAACUGACGCUGAGGCAUG
rnacentral:rRNA from 1 species